rnacentral:ribozyme from 1 species
GGGGCACCUCUUCGCCGCGGCGCACAUGAGCAACGUCGUCAUCUACUCCACCAACACCGCCGAGAAAGUCGGGGUGCUCAUCUCGCACACGGCGCUGGUGCGGUCGGUGGCGUGGUCGCGCGACGACCUCCGAGUCGCCACGGCGGGCAUCGACGGCGCCGUGUACGAGUGGUCCCUGCAGGACUACAGCCGCAAGGAGGAGCACGUGACCCGCAACGUGCAC